UACAGAGGGGGCAAGCGUUGUUCGGAUUCAUUGGGCGUAAAGAGCUCGUAGGCGGUUCGAUAAGUCGGGUGUGAAACCUCCAGGCUCAACCUGGAGACGCCACCCGAUACUGUCGUGACUAGAGUCCAGUAGGGGAGCGUGGAAUUCCUGGUGUAGCGGUGAAAUGCGCAGAUAUCAGGAGGAACACCAGCGGCGAAGGCGGCGCUCUGGGCUGGAACUGACGCUGAGGAGCGAAAGCGUGGGGAGCGAACAGG
rnacentral:rRNA from 1 species